GGGGAAUUAGCUCAGCUGGGAGAGCGCCGCCCUUGCAAGGCGGAGGUCGUGGGUUCAAGUCCCACAUUCUCCA
rnacentral:tRNA from 1 species